AGCGAACGCUGGCGGCAGGCCUAACACAUGCAAGUCGAACGAACUCUUCGGAGUUAGUGGCGGACGGGUGAGUAACACGUGGGAACGUGCCUUUAGGUUCGGAAUAACUCAGGGAAACUUGUGCUAAUACCGAAUGUGCCCUUCGGGGGAAAGAUUUAUCGCCUUUAGAGCGGCCCGCGUCUGAUUAGCUAGUUGGUGAGGUAAAGGCUCACCAAGGCGACGAUCAGUAGCUGGUCUGAGAGGAUGAUCAGCCACAUUGGGACUGAGACACGGCCCAAGCUCCUACGGGAGGCAGCAGUGGGGAAUCUUGCGCAAUGGGCGAAAGCCUGACGCAGCCAUGCCGCGCGAAUGAUGAAGGUCUUAGGAUUGUAAAAUUCUUUCACCGGGGACGAUAAUGACGGUACCCGGAGAAGAAGCCCCGGCUAACUUCGUGCCAGCAGCCGCCGUAAGAC
rnacentral:rRNA from 1 species